UGAACGCUGGCGGCGUGCUUAACACAUGCAAGUCGAGCGGAGUAUUCAAGGAGUUUCGGAUGGAAUGAAAUGACUAGCGGCGGACGGGUGAGUAACGCGUGGGUAACCUGCCUCAUACAGGGGGAUAACAGUCGGAAACGACUGCUAAUACCGCAUAAGCGCACAGUGCUGCAUAGCACAGUGUGAAAAACUCCGGUGGUAUGAGAUGGACCCGCGUCUGAUUAGGUAGUUGGUAGGGUAACGGCCUACCAAGCCCGACGAUCAGUAGCCGACCUGAGAGGGUGACCGGCCACAUUGGGACUGAGACACGGCCCAAACUCCUACGGGAGGCAGCAGUGGGGAAUAUUGGACAAUGGGGGAAACCCUGAUCCAGCCGACGCCGCGCGAGUGAAGAAGUAUUUCGGUAUGUAAAGCUCUAUCAGCAGGGAAGAAAAUGACGGUACCUGACUAAGAAGCCCCGGCUAACUACGUGCCAGCAGCUGC
rnacentral:rRNA from 1 species